GGGGGCGUAGCUCAGUCGGUAGAGCAGUGGACUUUUAAUCCAUUGGUCGGGGGUUCGAGUCCCUCCGCCCUCA
rnacentral:tRNA from 1 species